rnacentral:rRNA from 1 species
AUUGAACGCUGGCGGCAGGCCUAACACAUGCAAGUCGGGCGAGCGGCGGGCGGGUGAGUAAUGUAUGGGAAUCUGCCUGAUGGAGGGGGAUAACUACUGAAAACGGUAGCUAAUACCGCAUACCAUCAGAUGAACCCAUAUGGGAUUAGCUAGUAGGUGGGGUAACGGCUUACCUAGGCGACGAUCCCUAGCUGGUCUGAGAGGAUGAUCAGCCACACGGGGACUGAGACACGGCCCAGACUCCUCCGGGAGGAAGCAGGGGGGAAUAUUGCAAAAUGGGCGCAAGCCUGAUGCAGCCAUGCCGCGUGGAUGAAGAAGGCCUUCGGGUGGUAAAGUACUUUCAGUCGGGAGGCGUUACCGACAGAAGAAGCACCGGCUAACUCCGUGCCAGCAGCCGCGGUAAUAC